AGCCAAUAGAUACCCCGGUAGUCCACGCCCUAAACGAUGUCUACUAGUUGUUGGUGGAGUAAAAUCCAUGAGUAAACGCAGCUAAACGCGUGAAGUAGACCGCCUGGGGAGUACGGUCGCAAGAUUAAAACUCAAAGGAAUUGACGGGGGCCCGGCACAAGCGGUGGAUUAUGUGGAUUAAAUUCGAUGCAACGCGAAAAACCUUACCUGGCCUUGACAUGCCACUAACGAAGCAGAGAUGCAUUAGGUGCCCGUAAGGGAAAGUGGACACAGGUGCUGCAUGGCUGUCGUCAGCUCGUGUCGUGAGAUGUUGGGUUAAGUCCCGCAACGAGCGCAACCCUUGCCAUUAAUUGCCAUCAUUUAGUUGGGCACUUUAAUGGGACUGCCGGUGACAAACCGGAGGAAGGUGGGGAUGACGUCAAGUCCUCAU
rnacentral:rRNA from 1 species